GACUGCUAUCGGAUGAUACUAAGCCAUGCGAGUCUUGUAGUAAUACAAGGCAUACGGCUCAGUAACACGUAGUCAACCUACCCUAUGGACAAGAAUAAUCUCGGGAAACUGGGCAUAAUUCUUGAUAGAUCAUAAUGCCUGGAAUGGUUUAUGGUUAAAAUGAUUCGUCGCCAUAGGAUGGGACUGCGGCCUAUCAGCUUGUUGGUGAGGUAAUGGCCCACCAAGGCGAUUACAGGUACGGGCUCUGAGAGGAGAAGCCCGGAGAUGGGUACUGAGACACGGACCCAGGCCCUAUGGGGCGCAGCAGGCGAGAAAACUUUGCAAUGUGCGAAAGCACGACAAGGUUAAUCCGAGUGAUUUCUGCUAAAGAAAUCUUUUACCAGUCGUAAAACCGCUGGUGAAUAAGGGGUGGGCAAGUUCUGGUGUCAGCCGCCGCGGUAAAACCAGCACCUCAAGUGGUCAGGAUGAUUAUUGGGCCUAAAGCAUCCGUAGCCGGCUUUGUAAGUUUUCGGUUAAAUCCAUGUGCUCAACGCAUGGGCUGCCGAAAAUACUGCAUAGCUAGGGAGUGGGAGAGGUAGACGGUACUCAGUAGGUAGGGGUAAAAUCCUUUGAUCUAUUGAUGACCACCUGUGGCGAAGGCGGUCUACCAGAACACGUUCGACGGUGAGGGAUGAAAGCUGGGGGAGCAAACCGGAUUAGAUACCCGGGUAGUCCCAGCUGUAAACGAUGCAGACUAGAUGAUGCAUUGGCAUAAUAGCCAUUGCAGUGUCUCAGGGAAGCCGUUAAGUCUGCCGCCUGGGAAGUACGUACGCAAGUAUGAAAC
rnacentral:rRNA from 1 species